UACGAAGGGGGCAAGCGUUGUUCGGAAUUACUGGGCGUAAAGGGCGCGUAGGCGGCUUAUCAAGUCAGGCGUGAAAUUCCCGGGCUCAACCUGGGGGCUGCGCUUGAUACUGAUUGGCUUGAAUGCGGGAGAGGAUAGUGGAAUUCCCAGUGUAGAGGUGAAAUUCGUAGAUAUUGGGAGGAACACCGGUGGCGAAGGCGCACAUCUGGCCCGAUACUGACGCUGAGGCGCGAAAGCUAGGGGAGCAAACGGG
rnacentral:rRNA from 1 species